GUUUCCUUCUAUUAUCACUCAAAGAAAUAUAGAAAACAGAAGCAAAAAGCUUUUAGUGUAAUACAGUGAACACUAUAGGGUCAGGAACACAAACCUGUAUACCUGACCCUAUAGUGUUAAAAUUACUAUCUAGUCCCCUGCUAAAUAUAGUAAAAUCUUACCUUUAUUCCAGUCUGCUGCUGCUGGCUCUACCCCUGAUCUGCCUGCUCGGCUGACAUCAGAAGUGGUGGUCUGAGCCAAUCCCAAUGCUUUCUCAUAGGAAAGUAUUGGAUUCGCUCAGAUUAAGUCAGAUCGGGGCAGAGCCUGCACAAGCCAAACACAGCCCUGUUGAAUCAGCAUCUCCUCCUAGAGAUGCAUUAAGUCAAUGCAUCUCUGAGUACAGUUCAGUGUCUCCAUGCAGAGGGUGGAAACCCUAAAUUUCAGUUACACUUUGAAGCACUACCCUAGGAAGCUCCUCUAGCGGCCAUCUGAGGAGUGGUCAGUGGAGGUAUCCCUAGGCUUUAAUGUAAACACUACAUUUUCUAUGAAAAGACAGUGUUUACUGUAAAAAGCUUGAAAAUAAUGAUUCUACUAACCAGAACAAAUACAAUAAUCUGUAGUUGUUCUGGUGACUAUAUUGUCGCUUUAAAUAUAAGUGAAUAAUGUUCACCUUAUCUAGAGCCCAAUAUGCCUUGCUCUAGAUAUAUCGGCUUGUGUGUCCCUUAUAGGGGGACACUACCCUUCUUGUACAAGGAACCAGAAAUGAAGUCCACCAUGAAAUGUUUACAUUUGGC